GACGAACGCUGGCGGCGUGCCUAAUACAUGCAAGUAGAACGCACAGUUUCUACCGUAGCUUGCUACACCAUAGACUGUGAGUUGCGAACGGGUUAGUAACGCGUAGGUAACCUGCCUGGUAGCUGGGGAUAACUAUUGGAAACGAUAGCUAAUACCGCAUAAUAUUAAUUAUUGCAUGAUAAUUAAUUGAAAGGUGCAAUUGCACCACUACCAGAUGGACCUGCGUUGUAUUAGCUAGUAGGCAAGGUAACGCCGCACCUCGGCGACGAUACAUAGCCGACCGGAGAGGGUGGUCAGCCAGACUGGGAGUGAGACACGGCCCAGACACCUACGGGAGGCAGCAGUACGGAAACUGCAGGAAUGAACGAAGGUCUGAGCGAGAAACGCGGAAGGAGUAAGCAAGGAUUUCGGAUGGUAAAGAACUGUGGUAAGAGAAGAACGGGUGUGAGAGUGGGAAGAAGACUGAGUGACGGUAAUUUACAAGAAAGCGACGGCUAACUACGUG
rnacentral:rRNA from 1 species